UACGGAGGGUGCGAGCGUUGUCCGGAAUCAUUGGGCGUAAAGGGCGCGUAGGCGGCUUCUCAAGCGUGCGGUGAAAGUCGGGGGCUCAACCCCUGAUCGGCCGUGCGAACUGGGGGGCUUGAGCACUGUAGAGGCAGGCGGAAUUCCGGGUGUAGCGGUGGAAUGCGUAGAGAUCCGGAAGAACACCGGUGGCGAAGGCGGCCUGCUGGGCAGUUAGCUGACGCUGAGGCGCGACAGCGUGGGGAGCAAACAGG
rnacentral:rRNA from 1 species